AAGAAGCUUGCAGACGAUAGAAACAGCGAUGAGCAAGUAGAGAGAAUUGAAUUGGUGGUUUCUGAUGUUGAUGCGAGGGAUACAGAAGAUGAGGUCUUUGAGGAAGCUAUCGACAGUUCGAAGCCUGAAUCUUUUCAAGCCGAUGAUGGGUUACACGAGGAUUCACCUUCAGAGGAAGUGAAAGAUUCCAAGGUUAAUGGAGAGAGCCAUGGUGAGGCAAACGGGCAAGAUAUAACUACGGGAGAGGCUGUACCAGGUUUUGUGACUUCCCGAAUGAAUGGUGUUGAAGGGGAAGCAAGUGCAGGGAAUGUCAGCGAUACAGCUACACUUUCUUUUUCUGAAAAUGGAACUGUCUCUCUUGAGAAGAAAGCUGUUCUCCUCUCUUUCGGGUAAGCUUUUAGGGUUUCAUUUUUAAUGAAUUCGUCUUGUAUGUAUAUCUUUGAAAAGAGACGAGUAUUCUAGAGUUUGUGGUGAUAAUCCUGAGCUACGGGUUUGUUUCUGCUCUAUCUUUUCUGUUAGGGUUGCUGGAAAUUAUAUCAAGGGUUAAGCAUUUUUGUUUGGUUAGUGCAAUGAUUGGUGAUUUCGUUUUGGUUAUGGUUGUGAGCAGGUCAGAUAUGGAAGAGAAGAAGCUUGUAGACGAUAGAAUCAGCGAUGACCAAGUAGAUAACAACAUAUUGCUGGUUUCUAAUGUUGAUGCGAGGGAUACCGUAGAUGAGGUAUUUGAGGAAGCUAUUAACGGUUUCCAAGACGAUGAUGGGUUGCACGAGGAUUUACCUCGAGAGGCAACUCCUGCAGUUUACAUGGAUGAUCUGGAAGAAGUGAGUAGCAAUGAGAAGGAAGUGAUAGAUUCCAUGGUUAGUGGAGAGAGCCAUGGGGAGGCAAACGUGCAAGAUAUAACUACGGGAGAGGCUGCACCAGGUUUUGUGACUUUCAAAAUGAAUGGUGAUGAGGGGAAGUCAGGUACAGAUAAUGUCAGCGAGACAGCUACACAUUCUUUUUCUGAAAAUGGAAAGAAACAACUGGUGGCUGAAGUGAUCGAGGAAACAAGGAAUGGUGGUAUAGAAGAGGAAAACAGGGAUGAAAAUGUUGAUGUAUCAGCUGGCAGAGGAACAGAACAAGAGGCACAAAGAAAUGGUGAGACUGCUGCCGAUUACAACACUGUUAAACGUGCUUCAGGUGAGAGAUCCUUGAAUGAUAGUAUAGCUUGUGCUGGGACCUUAUCUCCAUUGGAGAAAUCUAGUUCUGAGGAAAAGGGAGAGACUGAAGGUCACAUCAGUAGAGAGCAUGAUACUGUUCAAAACAGUAAGGGAGGACUUGGUGUUGAACAUACUUCUCAACCUAAUAAGGAAUUUGAGAAGAAGCAAGGCAGCAGAGUGAAUAUGAGUCCAGAGAUUCAGGAAAGCCCACAUUUGGAAAGAAAAUCUGAGGAAGCAAGUUCUGUUUCACCAACAGAAUCUACAAGUAAUACUGCAGCGUCACCUCCUGCUCGCCCAGCAGGCCUUGGGCGUGAUGCUCCUCUUUUGGAAUCCACACCACGUGUUCCUCAUCAGCCUCGUGUCAAUGGUAAUGUGUCUCAGAAUCAGUCUGAGCAAGCAGAGGACCCUACCCCUGCAGAGACCGAUGAGCAUGAUGAGACCCGUGAGAAGCUCCAAUUGAUCAGGGUCAAGUUUUUGAGGCUUUCACAUAGAUUAGGGCAAACUCCACAUAAUGUUGUUGUUGCUCAGGUUUUGUAUAGGCUUGGAUUAGCAGAGCAGUUGAGGGGGAGAAACGGAAGCCGUGUUGGUGCCUUUAGUUUUGAUCGAGCCAGUUCCAUGGCAGAACAACUUGAGGCAGCUGGACAGGAUCCACUUGAUUUUUCUUGUACAGUUAUGGUGCUCGGUAAAAGUGGUGUUGGUAAGAGUGCUACGAUUAAUUCUAUUUUUGAUGAACCGAAAAUCUGUACCGAUGCAUUUCAGAUGGGGACAAAGAGGGUUCAGGAGGUUGAGGGUUUUGUUCAGGGAAUUAAGGUUCGGGUGAUUGACACUCCAGGUCUCUUACCAUCAUGGUCUGAUCAACACAAGAAUGAGAAAAUGUUGAAGUCUGUUAAGGCUUUCAUCAAGAAAAAUCCACCGGAUAUCGUAUUAUAUCUUGAUAGGCUGGAUAUGCAAAGCAGAGAUUCUGGUGACACUCCUCUCUUGCGCACCAUCACUGAUGUUUUUGGACCAUCGAUAUGGUUUAAUGCCAUUGUGGGUUUGACUCAUGCCGCUUCUGCUCCACCAGAUGGCCCAAAUGGCACUGCCUCUAGCUAUGACAUGUUUGUAACACAACGUUCUCAUGUCAUUCAGCAGGCCAUUCGCCAAGCAGCUGGAGAUAUGAGGCUCAUGAACCCUGUGUCUUUAGUUGAGAACCACUCUGCUUGCAGGACAAAUCGGGCAGGUCAGAGAGUAUUGCCGAAUGGCCAAGUGUGGAAGCCUCAUUUGCUGUUACUCUCAUUUGCGUCCAAGAUUCUAGCAGAAGCAAAUGCUCUUCUGAAAUUACAAGAUAAUAAUACUCCAGGGAGACCAUUUGUAGCUCGAUCCAAGGCUCCACCACUGCCACUUCUCCUCUCAUCGUUUCUGCAAUCAAGACCGCAAGCUAAACUUCCUGAAGAGCAGUAUGGUGAUGAAGAAGAUGAAGAUGAUUUGGACGAAUCAUCAGGUUCUGACGAAGAAUCAGAGUACGACCAGCUUCCUCCUUUUAAGCGUUUGACUAAAGCUGAGAUGGGUAGUCUUAGUAAAUCUCAGAAGAAGGAAUAUCUUGAUGAGAUGGAGUACCGGGAGAAACUAUUUAUGAAGAGGCAGAUGAAAGAGGAAAGAAAGAGACGUAAGAUGAUGAAGAAAUUUGCUGCCGAGAUUAAAGAAUUUGCUAACGGGCAUAGUGAAAAUGUGGAAGAGGAGAGAAGUGAACCUGCUUCUGUUCCAGUUCCCAUGCCAGAUUUGUCUCUACCUGCAUCGUUCGACUCUGACAACCCUACUCACAGGUACCGGUCUCUUGAUUCCUCCAAUCAGUGGCUUGUUAGGCCAGUCCUGGAAACUCAGGGGUGGGAUCAUGAUGUUGGGUAUGAAGGUGUCAAUGCAGAACGACUUUUUGUUGUUAAAGAAAAGAUACCGAUAUCUUUCUCGGGGCAAGUUACAAAGGACAAAAAGGAUGCAAAUGUGCAGCUGGAAAUGGCCAGCUCGGUUAAACAUGGAGAGGGCAGAUCAACCUCCCUAGGUUUUGAGAUGCAAAAUGCUGGGAAGGAAUUGGCUUACACUGUUCGAAGUGAUACCAAAUUUAACAAUUUUAGGAAACACAAAGCUGCAGCUGGUCUCUCUGUAACGCUCUUGGGUGAUUCGGUGUCUGCGGGGCUGAAAGUUGAGGAUAAGUUGAUUGCUAAUAAAAGGUUCAGAAUGGUUAUGUGUGGAGGGGCAAUGACUAGUCGAGGAGAUGUUGCUUAUGGGGGUAGUUUAGAAGCUCAGCUGAGAGAUAAAGAUUAUCCGCUGGGUAGGUUUUUAUCUACUCUAGGACUUUCUGUGAUGGAUUGGCAUGGGGAUCUUGCUAUUGGAGGGAAUAUACAGUCCCAGGUGCCCAUAGGACGUUCAUCUAAUCUAAUAGCUCGUGCUAAUCUGAACAACAGAGGGGCAGGGCAAGUAAGCCUCCGCGUAAAUAGCUCUGAGCAGCUCCAACUUGCACUGGUCGCAUUGGUUCCUCUGUUCAAGAAGCUACUUAGUUAUUAUUCCCCUCAGCAAAUGGAAUAUUGACAAUAAUGGAUCACUUCGGGUUUCAAUUCACUUACUACAAGAACAUCCUAGAUUGAGAGUUGAAAAGGUACUAAUCUAUCUGCUUUUGCUUUCUUAUUCCAUUUGCUGUAAACCCGCUUUAUUGAUUGCUGAUGUGGCUUUUGGUUUUUGAGCAGGAACCUUGGUGUGCCCUUUGGGUUGAAAACUUUAAGAACAAUUUGUUGGAGGAGGCCUCUGUUUUCUUUACAUAGCCAGAACACUUGUUCGUUCCUUGUCUAAUUUAAGCAUAGUUGUGGUUUUAUUCUCUUUCCAAAACCUUUGUAUGGCUUUCUGUUCAUGUCUACCUCUGGAUUUUUCAUAAAGCUUGUUAAAAUUAUGCUGCAAUCUACUUGUUGAUUUUAAGACACCCAUCAUCACCCUCUGAGCUAGCCGUAAUUCAAGGCUUUUAAAGGGAGUUUUGUAGGGGUCCUUAUCAUCUGCUAAACGUCUUUUAAUGUUGUCAAGCAUCUAUUGUAAGCUGCUUUGGAAAGUCAAAGUUGCUGGUAACUUUUGUUGCGCCAGUUCGUAUUAUGCGUCUUUCCCUCAAAUCAAAAGAUUCUGUUGUUGAUACUGUUACUGCGAAUCUCACAUUGUCACGUUGAGUCCCACCAAAUCCAUUGGUUUGGUGCUCAUGCAAUCCAUCUGCGAGACUUCUGUUACACAAUUUGCUCUUGUUAGCAGCGAGAUGUGGUAGCUUUGGUCUUGUUGUCAUUAUAAAAGCUUCUGUGGUGGAAAUACCGUUUGGAUUUGCCAGUUCUUAACGGAAGAGAUUAUCUAUGUGAAAGUUGUCACUGCAUGUUUUGACUUGUCUAAUAUUGUCGAGUAGGAAGCUUUUAAUGGGAGAAGAUGGUAGACAAGAAGUUUACAGUGUUGGGCUGCAAGAGUAUGAAGUCUCAGAUGUUCAAAUUGUAAGGUACUUAUCGAGAAAGGGAACGCUGAAAGGAGCACAGGGUCAACUGGAGCAAAUGGGGAGUCAUCUAGAUCACAUGCUAUCUUACAACUUGUUGGAAAGAAACACGUUUUGAGGUAAAAGAAACCAGACGUAAAAAUGAUGAUGCCAAUGAAUUGCCUGGGAAAGUUGUUGGGAAGAGUACUUUCAUUGAUCUUGCUGGCAGUGAAAUAGGUGCAGACACCACAGACAAUGACCGCCAGACAAGGUGAGAAUGCUCUCUAGACGUCGUGGCUGAGUACUGAUGUGGGACCCACAAAUGACGCUGGAGAUGAUGUCAUGGCACGCUGGCAAUGAUCAGCGUUAUCUUUCAAACCUUCUCAUGCAGGUACUUUGCUUUCCCUGAGUCUUUCUUUCCAUUACACUCUUCCAAUAACUUGCAUGCCUUGUAGGUGGUAAUUGCCAAUGUUUUGUUAGAGCUUUGGUUCGCUGAAUGCUGAGUAUGAAUGUAAGCUUGGAAUCUUUUUGACCAUCCUUGUGAAUUGUGCUUAUCUUGCUAGAAUUUGUUUCAGGGCAUGUUAGUAAUUUAUCUCUUUCGAUUGGUAAUUUUCUUAGCUAUAGAAACUUUACUGGCUGGCUGCUUUGUGUUUGUUUUUGCUGUAUCUGCCACGGUUAUGGAGCUCAGACUGCUGGAGAGAAUCAAAAGCUUUUCAAACUAAUGUGAAAUCUGAAUCUCUACGGAGAGUACUCUGAAUCAUAUAUACACCAUCAGCAGCUUUUCAAACUAAUGUGAAAUCUGAAUCUCAACGGAGAGUACUCUGAAUCAUAUAUACACCAUCAGCAGCUAUGCCUUCUUCGGAAGGAUUUUUUUUCCACCCGAGUUCAGAGAUGAUUUUGGAGCUUGUUUGAUGGGAUCUUCAUGCAGUGGAUGACUCAGAGCUUCUCUCUGAGGUACGUUUGGAAGGACAACUAGACAUAGAUCAUUCAUAGUUAUGUUGAUUGGUAUGUUCUGUAGAAACUAUAGCCUCUCUUGAAACUAAUUCUCAGCUUCUCUUAACUUCAGACCGUGAAGAGAAAGUGUCACCACCUCGUGGGAAAGGGUUGCGGGAAGAAAAACCAGCCAGACCACAAAACAUGUCUAAGAGAGACGUCAGGUCGUCAGAUAUCCCCUACCUUUACAAACUUUAGGCAGACACAAGUAAGCCAUACAUAUAUAUAUAUAACCGACCCUUCACUUGAUGAAAACAUCGAUGCACUGUUUGAUGUAAAAUUUAACCAAUUUAGUAAGCCAUACAUAUAUAUAUAUAUAUAAAAAAACAAUCACGUUUGUAAUAGCUAAUAUAAAAUAUUUGCGACUGACAAUAAUAGAAAAGACAGGUGAGUAACUCCAAGAAAGAAGAAAACAAGUAUCUGUCUCGUGUAGUGAUGGCAAAAAGGCCAACAAGAUUUAGCAGCCCACCUAAAAGGCCUUGGCCCACUUCAUGUUUCCACCGUACGAUGCUUAAACCCAAAACGGAUAUCCACCGUCCCUGGAAAGCUCUUAUCUCCCUCCUCCUCCACCUUCCCCGUCAGAAGUUUGCCUCUCUCCCUCUCUCUCUCUAAACGAGGUUAGCUUUCUCUUUUUUUUUGUAUAAGCUUUUAGGGGUUUCAUUUUCAAUGAUAGAGAUGAGUAUUCCAGAGUUUCGUUUCUGCUCUAAUUUUAUCGUUAGGGUUAAGCCUUUUUAGUCUGAUUGAUUCGUGAUUUCGUUUUGUUUAUGGUUGUAAGUAGGUAUGGAAGAGAAGAAGCUUGCAGACGAUAGAGUCAUCGAUGACCAAGUAGAGAAAAUUGAAUUGGUGGUUUCUGAUGUUGAUGCGAGGGAUACCGAAGAUGAGGAAGCUAUUGACAGUUCAAAGCCUGAAUCUCUCCAAGCCGAUGAUUUACCUUCAGAGGAAGUGAAAGAUCCAAAGGAGAUUAUUGGAGAGAGCCAUGGUGAGGCAAACCUGCAACAUAUA
rnacentral:lncRNA from 1 species